rnacentral:rRNA from 1 species
UGGGGAAUAUUGGACAAUGGGCGAAAGCCUGAUCCAGCCAUGCCGCGUGUGUGAAGAAGGCCUUUUGGUUGUAAAGCACUUUAAGUGGGGAGGAAAAGCUUAUGGUUAAUACCCAUAAGCCCUGACGUUACCCACAGAAUAAGCACCGGCUAACUCUGUGCCAGCAGCCGCGGUAAUACAGAGGGUGCAAGCGUUAAUCGGAAUUACUGGGCGUAAAGCGCGCGUAGGUGGUUAUUUAAGUCAGAUGUGAAAGCCCCGGGCUUAACCUGGGAACUGCAUCUGAUAUUGGAUAACUAGAGUAGGUGAGAGGGGAGUAGAAUUCCAGGUGUAGCGGUGAAAUGCGUAGAGAUCUGGAGGAAUACCGAUGGCGAAGGCAGCUCCCUGGCAUCAUACUGACACUGAGGUGCGAAAGCGUGGGUAGCAAACAGGAUUAGAUACCCUGGUAGUCCACGCCGUAAACGAUGUCUACCAGUCGUUGGGUCUUUUAAAGACUUAGUGACGCAGUUAACGCAAUAAGUAGACCGCCUGGGGAGUACGGCCGCAAGGUUA